rnacentral:rRNA from 1 species
UACGUAGGGUGCAAGCGUUUGUCCGGAAUUAUUGGGCGUAAAGAGCUCGUAGGCGGUUUGUUGCGUCGGCUGUGAAAUCCCGAGGCUCAACCUCGGGUCUGCAGUCGAUACGAGCAAACUAGAGUGUUGCAGGGGAGACUGGAAUUCCUGGUGUAGCGGUGAAAUGCGCAGAUAUCAGGAGGAACACCGGUGGCGAAGGCGGGGUCUCUGGGCAACAACUGACGCUGGAGGAGCGAAAAGCGUGGGGGAGC